CACGUAGGGUGCGAGCGUUGUCCGGAAUUAUUGGGCGUAAAGAGCUCGUAGGCGGUGUGUCGCGUCGGCCGUGAAAACCUGCAGCUUAACUGUGGGCUUGCGGUCGAUACGGGCAUCACUGGAGUUCGGCAGGGGAGACUGGAAUUCCUGGUGUAGCGGUGAAAUGCGCAGAUAUCUGGAGGAACACCGGUGGCGAAGGCGGCAUCCUGGACCGACACUGACGCUGAGGCGCGAAAGCAUGGGGAGCGAACAGG
rnacentral:rRNA from 1 species